UACAGAGGGUGCAAGCGUUAAUCGGAAUUACUGGGCGUAAAGCGUGCGUAGGUGGUUUGUUAAGUCUGUUGUGAAAGCCCCGGGCUCAACCUGGGAAUGGCAAUGGAUACUGGCAAGCUAGAGUGCGGUAGAGGGUAGUGGAAUUCCCGGUGUAGCGGUGAAAUGCGUAGAGAUCGGGAGGAACACCAGUGGCGAAGGCGGCUACCUGGACCAGCACUGACACUGAGGCACGAAAGCGUGGGGAGCAAACAGG
rnacentral:rRNA from 1 species